rnacentral:lncRNA from 1 species
CAAUAAUCUUUUAAUUUUAAAAUUUGAACGUGUCAUUUAUUUUUAUAAAAUUUAAUCAAUAGUAUUUUAUAUAAUUUACAUAAUUAUAAGCUCAUUCAAAUCAAUUAGUUAAAACUUUAUUUCCAAAAAAGCCGUCGAAUUAUUUAAUUUGAAUAAAUUAAAUUCUGAAAGUUUAGAUAGUCAAUCAAAAUAUUUUAUAAUUCAAAUAAAUUCUUAUAUAUUAAUAUGUUUUUUAAGCUAGAACUUUAUUCCUUGGUUUGAUCUCUCUAGAAUAUAUCUGUUCAAGGCAUUCCUUUCUUUCUUUAUCAUCAAAAAAUGAUAGCCCAACCGACUGUUCCUAGCGCAAGUGGUAAAGAAUUUGGUGAUUGAUACCCGAAGUCCCAAGUUCGAAUUCUAGUUGAUUCAUAUUUUUAGCUAAAUUUAUUUCUAAAUAAAAUAAACGAAUCGAAUAACAUGCUAUCUAUCUCUUAAAAAAAAAAAAAAAAUGAUAGCCCAACACAUUAGACUAGAUCCACUACAAUGGAAAUGGAAAAAGCAGCACCUUCCCUUUGACCUCACCCACCCACCCACCACCACUCUCUAGUCUCUAGUGAUCCCUUUCCAAUCCACAUGGCACCAUGUCCACAAACCCCAAUCUCCCCAUCUUAACAAAAAUCCAAUGGGGUCCACCUACCCCAGCCACCCACACACCCAAUGACACAACUCACCUCCUCCACACCAUACAAAAUUGAAAACACUGCUCUUAGGAGUACCCUAUUAUCCGUCUUCUAAAAUACUGUUGAUGAGUUAGCAUAUUAAAUUCUAAACUCUAAAUUCUAAAUAUUAUAAUUAAAAUUUAAAUGUUAUAUAUAGAUAUAUGAAAUUAGACUGGAAUGCUAUUAAUAAUACUAAGUUAUUCAUGCUAUUAAUUUUUUAAUCCUUAAAUUGAAAAAUGUGCUGUUAGGAUGAUGUGGGCCCUCUAGGGUUGAGUGGGUGGUUGGUGGAAUAGUAUAAUCUAACGGGUAAAAAUAAUCAAAGGGUUAAAUCUACCGGUGAAAACUCGAUAAUAUGAAGCCCUUGGUAUUAUCGAUAGCAUUCCAGCCGGACUCUAGAUAUGUGUAUGUGUGUUUGAGAGAGACCAACAUAUUAACAGUAUUAUAAGGUAUAUGCUGUGGGGGAAUGGAAAGUAUU